rnacentral:rRNA from 1 species
AGUUGCAGGGUAUAGACCCGAAACCCGGUGAUCUAGCCAUGGGCAGGUUGAAGGUUGGGUAACACUAACUGGAGGACCGAACCGACUAAUGUUGAAAAAUUAGCGGAUGACUUGUGGCUGGGGGUGAAAGGCCAAUCAAACCGGAGAUAGCUGGUUCUCCCCGAAAGCUAUUUAGGUAGCGCCUCGUGAAUUCAUCUUCGGGGGUAGAGCACUGUUUCGGCUAGGGGGUCAUCCCGACUUACCAACCCGAUGCAAACUACGAAUACCGAAGAAUGUUAUCACGGGAGACACACGGCGGGUGCUAACGUCCGUCGUGAAGAGGGAAACAACCCAGACCGCCAG